GCCCCCGUAGCUCAGCGGAUCAGAGUGCCUGGCUACGAACCAGGAGGUCGCGCGUUCGAAUCGCGCCGGGGGUAC
rnacentral:tRNA from 1 species